rnacentral:tRNA from 1 species
GCCGUACUAGAGAAAUGGUUAACUCGUCGGCCUCCUACUUGUAUAUUUACAAUGAUAGCCGAAGAUUCCCGGUUCGAGUCCGGGGUGCGGUG